rnacentral:piRNA from 1 species
UGUGUUGACUCAAAAUAUGUCUUGUCUA